UACGUAGGGUGCGAGCGUUGUCCGGAAUUAUUGGGCGUAAAGAGCUUGUAGGCGGUUUGUCGCGUCUGCCGUGAAAAUCCGAGGCUCAACCGUCGGACUUGCGGUGGGUACGGGCAGACUAGAGUGUGGUAGGGGAGACUGGAAUUCCUGGUGUAGCGGUGAAAUGCGCAGAUAUCAGGAGGAACACCGAUGGCGAAGGCAGGUCUCUGGGCCACUACUGACGCUGAGAAGCGAAAGCAUGGGGAGCGAACAGG
rnacentral:rRNA from 1 species